GUGCUCGCUUCGGCAGCACAUAUACUAAAACUGGAAUGAUACAGAGAUUAGCAUGGCCCCCGCACAAGGAUGACACACAAAUUAGUAACACGUUCCAUAGGGGG